CAAGUUCUUGAGGCCAAAAGCCUCCUGCUUAUUUUUUGUUGAGUUUAUAGAGGUGUGCAUAUAUAGUGUUUCUAGGUAGUGAUGUGGAAUGCAAAUAGAGUUUUCAGGAAUACUGAAAAUACUUCUGGAGAAGGAGGUAAAGUGAAAAUGCUUUCUUUUUUAAGAUUCUAUUUAUUUUUUAAAAAGUGCUUAUUUUUGACAGAGAGAGAAAGUAUGUGUGACCAGGGAGGGGCAGAGAGAGAGGGAGACAGGUUCUGAAGCAGGCUCUGUGCUGGCAGCCGAUGUGGGGCUAAACUCAUGAAUCGUAAGAUCAUGGCCUGACCCAAAGUCAGAUGCUUAACUGACUGAGCCGCCCAGGUACUCCCUAAGAUUUUAUUUUUAAGUAAUCUCUACAUCCCAACGUGGGGCUCAACUGAAAACCCCAAGAUCAGAACCCACUGACUGAGCCAGCCAGGCACCCCAAAAAUACUUUUUAAUUGUAACUCACCUCUCAAACUCUUCUACUUAAAGCUGAAUUUAGCAAUAUAGAAAAACUUUGGGCUUAUUAUGUUGAAUUAAUUUCCCAGGUAUGGCCAUUGUAUGAGUAACAAUGUAAGUUUUUGUUAUUAAAAAACUCAAUACAGGCUAUUGGGUACAGGGGACCCUUUUGCCCUUUUAUUAUUUGAUGUUCUCUCUGCCUUAGAAAUAUGCUUUUUUUGGAGGAAAGGCAAGUUUGUUCAUACAAUUCCCAAAGGUUGGUUAUUUACUCUAGAAAAGAAUUUAAAAAAAGUUUUUUUUUAACAUUUACUCAUUUUUGAGAGUGAGAGAGACAGAGCAUGAGCGGGGGAGGGGCAGAAAGAGAGGGAGACACAGAAUCCGAAACAGGCUCCAGGCUUUGAGCUGUCAGCAUAGAGCCUGAUGCGGGGCUUGAACUCACGGAGUGCGAGAUCAUGACCUGAGCUGAAGUCGGACGCUUAACCAACUGAGCCACCCAGGCAGGCGCCUCUACUCUAGAAAAUUAACAAAAAUGGAAACUUUAUAGAAUCUUCCUUCUUAAUGUCUCUUAUUCCUAAGACUUAGGGUAAAACCUACUUUUCUGUUUGUGGCAAUUGCUGUCUAAGGGAGCUUUUUGCAUGCACAUGAAAUAAUGACCUCUGUAAGACCACAUGAUAUGAGGGACCUGCUGGUGUUAACAGGCCAAGUCACCAUUGUACCUUAUUAGUGAUAAGCUUCAUAUUUCUGCUGGAAAUUGGUUUUGCAUUAAUGAGCCAAGUAUAGAACAUUUUGAUAUUCUAGUAAAAUAAAUAUUUUAAUCGUGACAGCCCUGUUCCCCAUCAUUCUGUCAGACCCUGUCUAGACUUUGUUUCCUUCCUCCUGUCCUUGUUGUAUAAACUUAUCCUUAUUUUUUUCUUCCUAAAAUGUUCACUUACUUUGAAGAAUGCCCCCCAAACUUAUAAUCUGUCAGUAUGUAUUAUUUUACCAUAAAGAUCAAAAGCGUGAUUUUUUUUUUAAUUUUUCCUCUCCAUUCAAUUAUCCCUUAGCAUUAAAAGCACUUUUGUAAUACCACGUUUGCUAUUUGCUAUUUUGAGGAAUAAUUGACCCCUUUGAAAAAGUUUUACUGCCCAUCUCAGAAAAAUGUGGUUACAUAAGACAUUUUGCAUCUGAUUUGCAUAUGAUUUCAGAGGUUUAAGGACCCUCUAAAUCCCAUCCUUGGCUCCUGGUUAAUAUUCUAAGGGGCUCCUGGUAGCUCCAGUUAGUGUCUGACUCUUGAUUUUGGUUCAGGUCAUGACCUCAGGGUCGUGAGCUCAAGCACCGAGUUGGACUCUGCACUGGGUGUGGAGCCUGCUUAAGAUUCUUUCUCUCUGCCUCUACUGCUCACACACACACUCUCUCUAAAAAAUUAAAAUAAAAUAAAAUAAGAUAAAUACUGUAAUUAGGAAAAUCGCUCAAAUAAAAGUAGUAAUGCGGACUCAGAGAUAUAUGGGGAAAAUGUCCAGAUUACUUAAAAAGUUACAGGUUGGGGCACCUGGGUGGCUCAGUCAGUUAAGCGUCCGACUUUGGCUCAGAGUAUGAUCUCACGGUCCGUGGGUUCGAGCCCCACGUCGGGCUCUGUGCUGACCGCUCAGAGCCUGGAGCCUGCUUCAGAUUCUGUGUCUCCCUCUCUCUCUGACCCUCCCCCGUUCAUGCUCUGUCUCUCUGUCUCAAAAAUAAGUAUUAAAAAAAAAAAAGUUACAGGUUGUUGAAGGAUGAACAUCUCAAGUAUCUUCUGUAAGCAGGGAAGGAAAAUGUUUGCGAAGGAGUGGGAAAGUUUAGACAGGAAAUGGACAUCAGAGAUAGGAGCACUGAGAAGGGAUGUUUAGGGGAAAGAGAGAGGUAAAUGUGCACCUGUUCAUAGGCAAAAUUGUAGGAAGUUUGGGAGGAGAAUCUAGAACCCUUAGACUGUUUCCACAUUUUAUUUAAAAAGAGAUCUGUCGUUCAGUGAGUUUAGAAAAUACUUAAUAUGCUAUUGCCCUUUAGGGGCUUCAAGACAUGUAUCUGCAGGUUGAAGUUCCCGAGAAGCCCUGCAGUAAAAAACAACAAACAAACAAACAAACAAACAAAAAAACCUGUUUUACAUAGUUGAACCCAGCAUAUCCCAAACAGCUUUGGGUCCAAAUGUUUUGUUUUGUUUUGUUUUCUUUAAUGCAGAAAAUAGUUAUCAGCAGAACACACUUUGAGAAGUGAAAUGCUUGGACUAGAUAAAGUAGUCCUUUCUGACUUUUUAGAAUCUGAGGUGUGCAUGAUGUCCUGAACGGCAAUAAGCAGAGAGAAUCCCAAAGGACUGGAGAUAAAAUUUCGCUCUGGAGGUGGCAGCAGCUAAGUGAGCCAUGCAGUUGUGCCUUCACUUGCCCCAGAGGAGGGAGUGCUGGAAUGUGGGUGAUGCUGUUGGGCUAUGUUGAGAGCUGUGUUGGGCUUUGUGUAGCUCAGAGGUUGUGUAAGUUCUUACUGUGGCUACAUGAGGAAGAGAGGCAGACUGGAGACUGUUUGGUUGAGCCAUUAGAAACAGUGUCACCCUAGAGGUUCACUCUUUCAACUUCUUUGUCCCCAUUAAUCCAGAAGCCCCCCAGGCUGAUAAUAGGUAAUGGGGCUUAAGCAUAAAAAAAUUGGUUGUGAUUCUGAAUGUGGAAGGCAUUUUUCUUUUUAGCUGUGAGGAUGGUCAUUUAAGAAAAAUUGCUUUCUUUAUUAAACAAAAUCCUUGUGCUGUUUUUAAUUGGAUCAGGACAUCUCUGAGCUGCCUUGUGGUGUUCAUACCCAUUCUAGAUAAUGACUUUGUGAAAUAAGGGACUCCGUGGGCUAAAUUUAAGCUAGCAGUGCAGGGCAAAGGGAUACUUUGAUACCAUUAUGCAUUGUUAUCAGUCUCCUGAGCCCAGCAUUCUCUUGGUUAGAUACUCCAUGUUUAAUAUGUUUCAAGGAAUUUUUUUUUACACAGAUAUUCUGUAGUAUUAAUAGGCUUUGGUGGCUCAUACUGUAGACCUUUAUGUGGCUGAGUCCAGCCGCAGCAUGUGCAGUAGGCAGAGAGCUAUUUCAGGAACAAACCUGUUUCCUCUAAUUUUUAAUAAGCACUUAGGUCUGCCUGACUCUUCAGAUGUAUCACAGAGCCCAUCACAUGCCACCUACUAGAGUACUAAAGAGGUCCUAAAAUUAGAAUUUAUGUUUUGGUUUUUUUAAGUUAGUGAUUCUUCUUCCUUUGCUGAAACUACUUAUAGUCAGCCAUAUUUGUUAAAUAAUCUCUUCUAAGUCUGCAAAUUCUAAGAUGGAAUUUUUGAACAUUCUAAUCAAGCAAGAAAAAAUUUUAACAAAAAACAUAAUUCCCCUCAUGGAGUUUUGAGGUUCCCAAUUAUGUGGUGGGGCAUAUAUUUUCCUUUAAGGAUCCAAUUCCCAUGCAGUUCAUAACAUACCAUAUUGUACAUGUAUGUAUAUUACAUAUACAAAUCCUAUUGCAUAAUCUACUGGAAUCCUUGCCUUCUUCCUCUUGACCCUCCCUUCUUCUAUCUCUCCCAAUUUAGGGAGGGAAAAACCCCUGUGCUUCUCUCAGUCUGAAGUCGUCUUUCAGCCCCAGAAUUGUGUUCUUCAGACUUUCUUCAUCUUUACUUGAGUCACCUCAGUUCCAGAGGAGGAAUGGAUUGAUUGGCUGAAUUCUGCUGACUUGUUGCUACCCAGCUCUGCUGAUACGGACGUUCGUAGGGUGGGGAUGACAGGGGAUUACCAAGCACUUGCUGAGUGAUAAACUGAACUGAGGCAACCACAAGCAGGAUGUGCACAAAAGAGCCACUGGGACACACUGACCCAUUGCUCUGAACCAGCUGUCUGUGCUGGUGCCUGCUGGGAAACAGGGCAGGAAUCAGGAGCUUUCUCUCGAACAAGUUAAGUACAACAUGAGUCAGAAGCAUAAUUCCAAAAGGUUUUGGGGCUGUCCAGAUUUGGUGGUAGGAGCAGGGAGGGAGAAGUGUCACACAUUCUGUGGUGAUUGACUUACUGGAAAUUCACCAUCAUGGAAACAGAAAUUUAGGGAAAGAAUUCUUAAUAUGUUCUGGGAAGGCUCCCAUUCAUGGAAUUGGUUUGGCAGACAAAUGGCUUCCAGGAAUGCCAACAAGAAUUAUAUAGCAAGAUGCAGAUGGUUGAUAGUCUCUUUUUCUGUUACUGCAACCUGGUGGUGGUUGGAGAUUUCGACUUAGGGCAGGAGCCCUCUGUCUUCACACAUGACCCUCCACCUCCUUCACUUUUGGCUUCUGAUGACCAGGAAGGAAUUUCUCAAAUUCUCAUCUGUGCAUGUUCUUUAUCCCAUUUCUUUUUCGAUGUAAUUAAUAAAAAGAUUGCUAGUAAUUAUUAUAUAAGAAACUUGAGGUGCAAUCUGAGUUCAUUAGAAACUUGGAUGAGUGCUGUUUGCUCAUUGCUAGAUUAGAAUGACUAUUAAUGCAAGUUGCUUUAUUCCCUGUUUUCCUUCUUCCUUUUCCCCUGUUGUUAUUCUAGGUAAUAAGUAAAUGACUCUUCUGAACUGAAACAGACACAGGAGUGUUCUUUAAAAACAUAACCUUUUUUAAUGGGGAUUUUCUCUUUAGGCAGGGAAAUCUUAUAUAAAAGAGAAAAAUAUAAUCCUUCUAGGUGUACUAACUUUGUUGCUUAUUCUGGGACCAAAAAUAAAUUAAUUUCUAUACUGUAUGCUCUCAGCUAUGCCUAGGAUAGUGUGUGUAUAUGUGUGUGUGUGUGUGCGCAUAUUACAGCCAUAGUUUGUGGAUUUACAUUUUGAACACAAUUAUCUCUUAUUUGAAUGGUGUUCGGUAGUCAAUAGUCAAGCACCAUAAAUAGUUUACGAUUAUAGACUUCUCAUAAUGACCUUUCACCCAAUAUGUUCCAUCCUCUGGAACUCAAUGGGAAUGUUAUACUUUCUCAGAGAUGCUUCUGGUCUUUUUCUUCAUCAUCUGCCACAAAAGACUUUCCCAAGUUUGAUGUCCCAACCUUUUAUUGCAGUUCAGUGCAUUUACUUUUCUAGAAUCCUUCUCAUUUUCCUUAAAAAAAAAAAAAAAAGCAAAAAACCCCCACUUAGUACAUUAAAAUCUGACUCACAGACUUAGAAAUGCUUUAGAAUAGAUAUAUUGAGAAGUAAGCCCACUCUACAUCCAUUAUGUACAGUUGUUUCUGUUAAGGGCUAUCCCAUUUCUUCAGACAGAUUCCAACGUCUUUCCAUCUCAUUUAUUCUUGACUGUCAAUGUAGAUUGUUCCAUUUCACUUUUCAAUUCAGAAUAGAAUAUAGAUAUUAUAGGUAUUCUAUAGAAUAGAAUGUAGCCAAAUUCCAACAUUGGGUGGCCAGUUCUUUCCUUCCACGUGAAUCUGAAUCAGCCUUCUGUUUGGGCAAGAUUUGAGUUACUGGUCAGCACAACUUGCCCCUAGGUAUUCCUGUGUUUUCAAGACUUUUGAGGGGUAAGCCAUUCACUUAUUUACUUUAUUUUUUAUUGAGAUAUAAUUGACAUAUAACAUUGUAUUAGUUUUAGGCAUACAACAUAAUGACUUAAUAUGUGUAGAUUGCAAAAUGAUUACUGCGGUAAGUUUAGUUAACAUCCAUCACUACACAUAGUUACAUUUGUUUUUUCCUUUAAGUCAUUCACUUCAAGAGUACUGUCAAAACCUAGUUGUGUUACCUGGGAAGACCAGUUAACACAAGUUGGUGUUCCAUAGAUAAAAGCCUUUAAAAUUUAUUUCCUUUUAUUAUUAGGGUAUCUGUGUUCAUUGAGAAAAAUUUGAAAACUACAAAUUGCAAAAAUGAAGGAAAUAAAAAUCACCUAUAAUUCUGCAGCUUAUUGUGAACAUUUCUUUGUGCUUAUUUCUUGGUUUGGUUGACUGGGAUUAUGUAUUAUACCUAUAGCUUUAACACCUGGUUUUCUCCUUUAAGCCUCAGGAACUUGCUAGUUUGAUAUCUUGACUAAUUUUCAUAAGGGAGGAGGGAUUAUAGAGACUUUUCAAUGUCACUAAAUAAUUGUUAAUGAUUUCAUUUUUAAAAUUUAAAUGUCUGGGCGUCUAGGUGUCUUAGUCAGUUAAACGUCCAACUUUGGCUCAGGUCAUGAUCUCGCCAUUCGUGAGUUUGAGACCUGCGUCGGGCUCUAUACUGACAGCUUAGAGCCUUGAGCCUGCUUCAGAUUCUGUGUCUCCCUCUCUCUCUGCCCCUCUCUCACUCACGCUCUGUCUCUGUCUCAAAAAUAAACAUUAAAAAAAUAAAAAUUAAAUUUAAAUGUCUUAUUUUGAGAUAAUUGUAAAUUUACAUACAGUUGUAAGAAAGAGGAGGUCCCAGGUUCUCCCAGUGAUAAUAUCUUGCAAAACUAUGGUACACCCAACCAAUUUACUGGCAUUGAUACAGUCGAGAUACAGAACAUUUCCAUCACCACAAGGAUUCUGUAGCCAUACCCACCUUCUUUUUCUUAUCUCCACCCUGGCCCCUGGCAACCACUAAUCUGUUCUCCAUUUUUUUAAUGUAGUCAUUUCAAGAAUGUUGUAUAAGUGCAAUUAUACAGCUUGUGUGACCUUUGGGAUUGGCUUUUUCCAUUCAGCCUAAUUCUCUGGAUAUUUAUUCAGAAAAUUGCAUGUACCAAUAGUUUUCUAUUUUUUCCUGUCUAGUAUUCCCUCUGUACAGAUAUAUCACAUUUUAUUUAUCCAUUUAUCAGUUGAUUGCAUAUUUGGGUUUUUCCAGCUUUUGGCUAUUUUGAAUAAAACUUCUUUGAACAUUUGUAUACAUGUUUUUGUAUGAACAUCAGUUUUUCUUGGGGCGCCUGGGUGGCUCAGUCAGUUACAUGUCCGACUUUGGCUCAGGUCAUGAUCUCACUGUUCGUGAGUUGAAAGCCCCGUAUCAGGCUCUAUGCUCACAGCUCAGAGCCUGGAGCCUGCUUCAGAUUCUGUGUCUCCCUCUCUCUCUGCCACUCCCCCAUGCUCGCUUGCUCGCUCUCUCUCUCUCUUAAAAAUAAACAUAAAAAAAAUUUGAACAUAAGUUUUUCUCUGGGAUAAAUGCCCAAUGACUUCAUUCUAAUGAUGGCGUAAUAUUUCCUUUGUAUGACAUUGUUUUUCAUUGUAUAGAAUAAAUAUGUCAUUUUUUAGUUGGUUAUUUCUAGAUGGAUUAAGGCUCUUUUCCCUCCAGUUUUUUUGCUGUUAUGAGUACACUGAUAAGAACCUUAUAGGUAAGCCUUAAUGCACAUCUACUUUUGUUUUCUAGAAGUGGAAUUGAUACCUCAGAGUGCGCAGAAUUUUAAAACUUUGUUUUUUUUUCUCUAAUAUCUGUCCUGUUAAAAUUCUACCAGCAGUGUAUGAAAGUGCCCAUUUACCCAUUCCUCAUACCUUUGCCAACACAGAACAUUAUUACUUUCAAAAAAUCCUUGUUAAUCUCUACCAUACCCCGCCUCUAGCCACAUAUACUUACAACUUAACUCUUUUCCAGUCCCACUUAGCCUAAGAAAAUCUUUCAGAAUAGUGGAAGUACCAUUAAAAUCUUAUCUUUAUAUUAAGUUUGGGACUCUACUGAAGUGGUUUUGUAGAGCCUCAGUGGAUUUGUUAUAAGAUGGGUACAGAGGGGUGCUUGGCUGGCUCAGUUGGUGAAACAGGGGACUCUUAUAAUCUCAGGGUUGUAAAUUCAAAAUCCCCAUUGGGUAUUGAGAUUAAACUCCCCACUGGGUAUUGGGAUUAAAAAAAUAAAAUCUUAAAAAAAAAAAGGUGGGAACAGAGAAUUACAAGAAAUCACUCAGUCUGCCUAAUCUUGUGCCUUGUCUCUUUUCUACCUUAUAUUCAUCCAGAAGAAUUAAACAUGGGUGUGCUGCCAUCACUAAUAGACUUAAACAAAGGAAAACCUUCAAGAUGUGAAUCACUUUUUGUAAAAACUGAUUAAUAUAAGCAAUAUAGGUAAGAGAGUGUGUAUGUGUUUUAUCAGGAUAGUAGCCCAUUUUUUACUCUUAUAGAUGAGAGUUAAGUAUAGUCCUUUAAUGGAAGUUAAGAGUAUGUAGAGCAGUAGUUGCUUUUUUUCUCCCUUCUUCCACUAAAGUGUUUUAGUGUUUUUCUCAGUGUGACUAGGCAGUGAUUUUGAAGGGAUAAAGCAGGAAGAAGAAUAUUUAUCUACUAAAACCUGAAUGUAUUUGUUUUCUGAGAUAAAUGAAAUCUUUGGCUUGAAAAUUACUUUCUGGUAGAAUAUGGCAAACUGACAUUCCUUCCAGGUAAGACAUUUUUUUCUCUUUGUGUUUUGAAAUCUGUAGUUACUUUUCUUCAUCUGUGGGUACCAUAUUUAAGAUGAAUCAAGAUUUCAGUAAAAAUUGUUUUAUUGUUAGAAUGGCAAAUCACUCUGUAGGAGAUUGGAUGAUUUCAGAAGAGAUUGUGCUUACUAACUUCUUUGGUGCCCAGUUAGUGUCCUGUGACAAAGACAGAUCCCAUUCUUACCAAUAAACAAAUUAAGGAGGCUGGAAGAAUCUGGCAUUUUUCUCUUUAAAGUUAUAAGAAUUAUUAUUCAUUCAGCCAUUUAAAUAUCUUCUACAAGUUUGUAGCCGAAGACUAAUAAAGAAAUGAGCAGAUAAAGCAAAGCAUCAUCCAUGAAAACUAUUCACUUUCUCAGGUAUGAUAAAGAAAAUCUUCUCUUUUCAUUUUUCCCAGUUUAUCAUGAUCCUUACUGCACCAGUGAUCUUAACAUUAAGUAUCUAGAACAUUCACACACCUUUUGGCCUAGGAAGGAAAGUGUAUUAUUGAACAUCAAGCCAGUCAUUCUUACAUCCAGGUGUUACAUACAACCUAAUUUGUCAAGCAUUACUUUUGCUAUAAAGAGAAUGCAGGAAAGGAGUUCUGCUUAAUGGGGGAAAGGGGCGACCAUUGGGGAAGUUUCGGAUGGAGCAUUUUCUUUGAGCUCAGCCUGUACAGCUUUCCCCAGGGCAGUAGAAGAGCCCUGGAAUCUGUCAACUUUAUUGAAGCUCAGAGUUUCAUUUUAUCUUUGAAAUAAAAAUUUCUCUAUGUGUUAUAUUUAGACAACAUUUUUUAUUUAAAAAGAAGUAUUUUUAUAACAAUCACGGAACUAUCUACAGGUCUAAGAACUCCUAGAAGAAUCUUUGACUACGAAUUUGACCAAGAACAGUGGCUUAUGCAACUCUGAAAGCACAUGAUGUUGAGAAUGAUCAAAUGCAAACAGCAUCGAACCCUCAGACUUCUUUGACUAAAAUGGUGAUGUACAAUUCUGAUCUGAGGGGUUGUCAAAAGACUGGUCAACAUCAUGCAGAAUUCAUUUACUGAGGAGGUCAGAAGGUACUACAGAGAAAAACAUAUUUUAAGCGAUCAAGAUUUAUUAUAUAGAUAUUUCAGGAAAGAUUUGCUCAUGAAAAUCUAGAAUUAUGGUGGAUAUAGUAAGUAAUAAAAAGAAACUGAAAGACAGCAUUAUAUUUCUUGGUGGAUAAAUGAGGUAAAAACAUUGGAUUCCUUUUACCUCUUCAGUGGCAGGUUAAGUUUUUGUGGAUCAUUAUACUUUUGUGUGACUGUGUGGAAGAACUUCCAACAUAUUUUGUGUUCUUUCUGGAUUUGGAUAACACUCAACAGAAGCCUGCUUUUGCCUAAAAUGAGUGAAUAGUCCUGUUCUAAAACUGUAUUGAAGUGUGGAGGCUUCAUAUGAAUUAUUAGUACAUAAUACUGUGUUUGACAUUGACCUAUUUGUGGACAAGGAAUAUUCAGUUCACAUUCAUUGUUCAUUAUUGUGUUUGAACCACAAAUAAAUGUUAUAGUUCUAGGGCCUGUGCUAGAACUGAACUGCCUGUGAAUUCUGCCAAAGAAAACAGCCAGCCUGGAUGUUUCAGAGCCCCUUAAGUUUUUGAGGGUUGGUGGAUUUUUUUUUUUUUUUGCUUUUCAGUGUGUUUUGUUUGGGUCCUUUAUAAAUAUCUAGAGUAUUGUCUUAACUCCAUUUCACCCCUUAUGGAGAUGCCCUCAUGUGCCAUAUCUAAAUGUCGUGAAUGAGAAGUGAUUUUGAGACUUUUCCCAUUUUGUUGUGCCUUGCUCACCUGUGGAUCAUGAUGGCUCAGUGAGGAGAGAGAAUUUUAUUUAAAGCCAAAUGCUUCUCUUUCGCAGAUUUUCUUCACACUGUUCCACGUGGACAUGGCUUCUUAGCUCUACUAAUUUUCAUUUUUAAGCAUAAGAUAUUCCUUAGGCCAAAAUAAGCUUUGUAAUUGAGAUAAGUGAAGUUCAUAGUCCUAUUCUCUAUUAUAGGGGUCCUUCUGUUUACUAUUGAUUUUUUGCAUACAUACUGUGUUUCAGAUACAUAUGUCUAAUCCAUACCCUAAAAGUUACUCAUUUCUCAGAAAAGAAACAGAGGCUUAGAUCAAUUAAAAGCCUGCCUAAGAUGACACUUUAGUAAAAAAAAAAAAAGGGGGGUGGUUAGAUCAAAUUAUCUUAAUUUCGCAAAUGGUUUGGGAAUGAUUGGAAUUACCCUAGAAAGAGAAGGUUUGUUUGCUUUUGUUUUGUUUUGUUUUAGCACAGGGAGUGCUAAGUGGGAUGGUUCUGUUUUGAUAACCUGCUUAGAUAAAAUGAGGGACCAGGCUGGGAUAGGGGGGUGGGGUGGAUGGGGAAGUGAACAUGGAAAUGUAGCAUGAGGUUGAAGUAAGACAGCAAAUUAGAAGAACAUUUGAUUAAAGGGAGAAGUCACAAGAUGCAUUUAUUUUGUAAAAUGUGGUGCUUUCACAUCACUCAAGAAAAAAAACCAGAAAAAUCUAUCUUGCAGUGUGAGCAUGUGGUACCUGAUAAUUAAUUGCUUGGUAAAAUUGUCAUUGAUAAAAAUUUUUGGAUUUUUUUAAAUGUACGAAUUACAAGUAAAAUAAGUUUGUGCCACAAAACAACUUUGGUCUGAAACAACAAUUACACAUUAAAAGAGGUGGCGGGCACCAGGGGGCUCAGUCCAUUAAGCGUCCAACUCUUGAUUUCGGCUCAGUUCAUGAUCUCCAGGUUCGUGGGUUCAGGGUCUGAAUCGGGCUGUGUGCUGACAGCGUGGAGCCUGCUUGAAAUUCUCUUCCUCCCUCUCUCGAAUAAAUAAAUAAAUAAAUACAAAGGUGGGACAGGGUCAGAAGACAACUAAUUUGGUAUUGAGCGUUCGAAGACUGGAAUUCUGCGUAGUUUGACAGGAGGCUGAUCAGAGCAUCUUCCUUGGUUGUCAAUGUUCUCAGCUAAUGACUAAUUGCUGCUCUUGCCCAGAAAUCCAGAAACUCUGGAGAUGAGGAAUUCUUUUUGAAACUAAUUCCACAGUACAUCACCCCUUUUGUUCACCACCACACACUGUACCCUGGCUCCUCUUCCCAAGGGCGGUUCAUUGGCACGUCUGUCUGGUAGGGCGGCGUUUUCUGCAUAGUAAUCAGGCCUCUGCAAUUGUGACAUCCCUCCCCCUCCCCCUAAACUCUUUGGGUUCUUGACACGCGGUGGCAAUGCCACUGGUAGAACAAAAAUCAAAAGGAGAAAAGGGAAAAAAAAAAGUCUUCUUGAAUUUGAUGUGACUGCAUAGUUCUGCCACGUUGUGGUUAAGGAAACUCCUUUAAAAACUUUCUUCUUCUUCCCAGGAAGCAGCCUUGUGAACAGGCAGGUUCAGAAAGCCAGGGAGCCAACAAAUUUUUUCUAGUCAUUUACCAGCCUGUCCUACUUUAUACCAAGUGCUUAGUGAUCAGUGUGCACAUUUUAAAUGGUUAAAAUUUGUAUUUUGACCCCUUUUAGUAUGUGCUAAUUUGCAAAACUUUUAAAAGUUGGCUCUUUGGCCACUGUUGUGUGCAGUUUUCAUUUUUGUUGCCUGUGUGACAAGAGUGGGUAGGGGCAAGGUCUCCUAAAGAUAGCUCAACAUGAGUACAUUGAAGGAGGCAGUGCAAGUUCGGCCAGCAAGUGUCCAUGUUUUUUCUUUUGUUAUGUUUAAAAAACAAACAGACCCCUGGAAUAUUAGAAUAUUUAGGAGCAAGGUGUUGUCAUUGUUUCUUAGACUCACAGAGUUUAUAACUAGACUUUUAUUAACUUGUGUUUUUUAUCUUGCACACACAAAAGGGCAUACUUAGAAGAUGAAAGAUUUAUCACAAAUUGAAAUACUAUAUAGAAGACUAAUGUUCCCUAUACUCUCUUCAGAAACUUGCCUUGCUAAUACUGUGUUUUCUGAUUCUGGUAAGGCUACAUGUCUUGAAAAUGGGAUUGUGAGGUGUAUUUGUUUCCAACCCUGUUGAUCUUGCUCUAUGCAGAUGCCCAGAUGAUUGUGGACAAAUUCUGCUCAGUUUCCAAAACCCAAGGGAGUUCCCAUAUGGUUAUUUUUCUGAAAAUCCUGACUUAGUAAGAUAUAAGCAUCCUUUUGGAGGAGGUCACAGAUUAAAUUCCUUGGAUGCCUUACCUCAGAUGCUAAGGAAGAAAUUUACACUCACUCAAUAAAUGUUUAUUGAUACCUACCAUGUGCCAGGCACCGAAAUGUGUAUUCUUUAACAGUGGGUUAGCCUGGAAGAACUACUCUUUGAUCAUUAGUAGUUUCUCAGUUCAGCACAGCAGCAUUCUGACCAUUGCUGGCAGGUCUGACCUUCAUUCCUGUCCUAUUUGCUGCCAUUUUCCAAGGACCUUGGGAUUAUAGAAUGUCAGACUUGAAAGAUAUAUAGACCUUCUAGUCCACUUCUUUCAUAUGAUUCAUGAGGAGUAAUGUAGGAUUUCAUAUGCAUACUCCCAGUUGGUCUCAAGAUCACCUCGAGUUUCUCUAAUUUAAAUGUAAGUAUCUGUUUAAUACUGAGAGUCAUUUUCAGAAUGCUUGAGUUGGGUGAGAUCUCUAGUUCAACCCCUUGAAAAACUGAUGGGUGGAUAAAUUAACACUCCUACUUAAAGAUGGUGGAGAAUUGGCUAUCACAGACGUAUUACAAGUAGUUCUGCCAAAGAGGCUUAUGCUAACCAGGAAUUAUCUUUUUACUCUCAGAGCGAUACAGACCAUAGACUAGGUUAGAGAUGUAGUCCAAAUAAAGUAGAAGGAUGAGUAGAGAACUUUUCAGAACUUGUUGAAUUAAAAAAAAAACCCAAACCCAAUGCUUUUCUGAUGCUGCUAUAAUUUCUCUAUCAAAAACAAGAUCCAGAAACAAAAAUGCCCUGAUUAACAAUCAGGAAACCAAAUAUCCUACCUGCUAGCCAACUCUAUGGGUUCUGAACACAGUGUACCAUUUGGGAUACCUUUGAGUUGUCUUUAGGUUUAUUUGAAAACAACUCCAGUGUGUUCAUGAGUGGCAAACAAUUUAAAAGCUCUUUAUGGCCUUGGUACUUUUAUAAAAUUUAGCAUUUCCAGUAGUUCUUCAAAGUUUGAAGAGAAGUAUGCUGUUAUCACAGAGAAAAAAGUAAAAGCUUAACUUUUUUUUUCUUUACCCCUCCCCCACAGCGGUCAGAACACUGGCUCUAAUUUCCCUGGACAGAUUUGUUUCAGGCUCAAGAUAGCUGCUUAAGCAGUUCAUGUGUAUAGAACUGUGUAGAACAUGUAUCCUUUUGUUAACACUGAAGUGGCCAGAGUGCUUCCACCAGCUGCAGAGGUGUGUUAGCUGGACCUCGAGAUUUUUGCCUUAAUCCAGAUGGACAGUUACCAGAGGACAUGAUGCAGAAGAGGUUAUUGGAGGUGGUGUUGACAGUAGAGUAUUGAGAUUGAAGAUGGUAUUAUUAAGAAGGAGAGGACAGAAGGCUAAAUAACAGGCAAGUGAAUUUGUUUCUCACUGUGUCUAAUGCUAUGGAUCACCGUAGGGUGAAUGUAUUUGUGUUUCUGGGUCAGCCACAUUGGGACAACAAAGUGAUCUCUUAAAUUGGAAAGCAGUGUUGUUCUUACUUGGCUGUUUCUUCAUGUCACACCCCUUUAGUGGUGUACAUCAUGGUCCUUCUGUUGUAGCUUAGUACCUGACAGCAUGUAUAUACAUGCAGGUAAUGUGCCUAGAGGCUUUAAUUUGACCUGGCUGCUUUUUCCCUAGGCUAGAGUCCUUUCAUUAAACUCAGAAGAUGUGCGUAUUUGAUGAAAAAAAAAAAAAAAAAAUAUAUAUAUAUAUAUAUAUAUACGCACAUACAUACACUUUUAAAAAGAAAAAAGUUGGAGAAGACCUGUUAUAAUCCUUCUUAAUUUAGGUGUUCCUUGCAGAUUUGGUCAUUUGCACAUGAGCUAUUGAUUUAGGUUCAUUAAGAGAUUUUCUGUUCUUUGUUUUCUGUGUUUUGUUUUUAUCUAUGCAUAGGCUUUAUAGUUUAUUGCUUUAAGAGGACAAGAAGUGGAUGGAUUUAUAAUUUAUUUAACUAUUUCUUUGUUGGAGAGCACUUGUUAUUUUUUCCCUUUAUUUUAAUAUUCUAUAAUUUAUAGUUAUUGUUUUUAUAAUUUUAUUUUAUUUUUAUACAUUUAUUUUUGAUAAAGACAGAGCAUGAGUGGGGGAGGGGCAGAGAGCGAGGAAGACACAGAAUCUGCAGCAGGCUUCAGGCUCUGAGCUCUGAACUGUCAGCACAGAGCCUGAUGCAGGGCUCAAACUCAUAAACCGUGAGAUCAUGACCUGAACCGAAGUCAGAUGCUUAACCGACUGAGCCACCCAGGCACUCCGAUAAUUUCACUUUAUUUUAAUAUAAUUUUUAAAAAUACUUAUUUAUGUUUGAGAGACAGAGCGUGAGCAGGGGAGAGGUAGAGAUGGAGACACAGAAUGUGAAGCAGGCUCCAAGCUCUGAGCUGUCAGCACAGAGCCCAAUGCGGGGCUCAAACCCAUGAACUGUGAGAUUAUGACCUGAACCAAAGUCACAUGCUUAACUGACUGAGCCAAUCCAGGUGUCCCUGUUUUUAUAAUUUUAAAAUAAGAGGAAUGCAUCUAAGUGUUCUGUACAUUGCUAAGGUUCUAACUGUGGACUCCUGACUAGGAACUCACAGUAAACUAGCUACAGGGAAAUUUGGCUACAAGAAAUGCAAUAGAAUUGAGCAGAGGAUUCCGUGUUCGUGUGUACAAAUGAGUCAUGAGACUGGACCUCUCAGCUCAAUAGGCUGAGCCUCUUCUUUGUGCUCUGAGUCAAAGAGGAAAAAAAGUAAAGGACUGACGUGUGUGUGUGUGUGUGUGUGUGAGAGAGAGAGAGAGAGAGAGAGAGAGCGAGAGCGAGAGCGAGUGAGAACACAUUUCCAUUCUGUGGCCUUUACAAGUAGAUAUGUGAUAGGGGUAAGAGCUGGCAAAAUCUGAAACCUAUAGGUGCAGUUUAAACAAUUCAGAGGACAACCCCCACAUGUUUCUUGUCCUUAUGCUUUUUACUUUUUUUUUUUGGAUUUUUGUUACUUCCCCUGCCUGCCCCCCUGCGCCCCCCCCCCCAUUUGUGAUCCAAGGAGGAUGAAGACCUUUUUCUUACAAUCCUGCUGUUCGAAGCAUUUGGAUAAUCUUACAACGAAAUAAAAUUAUCUCUUAAAAAAAAAAUUUUUUUUUUAACGUAUAUUUAUUUUUGAGACACAGAGAGACAGAGCAUGAACAGGGGAGGGUCAGAGAAAGAGGGAGACACAGAAUCUGAAACAGGCUCCCGGCUCUGAACUGUCAGCACAGAGCCCGAUGCGGGGCUCAAACUCACGGACCGCAAGAUCAUGACCUGGGCCGAAGUCGGACGCUUAACCGACUGAGCCACCCAGGUGCCCCUAAAAUUAUUUCUUAAAAAAGAAAAAAACAAUUAUGAGGCGUCUGGCUGGCUCAGUCAGUGGACCAUGAGAUUCUUGAUCUCAGGGUUACAAGUUUGAGUCCCGUGUUGGGUGUAGAGAUUACUUAAAAUCUUUAAAAGCAAACAGAAACCAUGGUGAUUUAUUUUGAAAUUAACCUGAGGGGAAAAAAUUAAUCUAUUGAAUGGUAUAAUUUGAAUGUAAUAAAAUUUGCCAUUUUAUGUGCAGAAUGUGAGUUUUGAUAAAGGUGUACAGUUGUGUAACAUCACAGUCAUGAUGUAAAGCAUUUCAAACAUUUUCAUCACCACCCCUUGUACUCAUUUCCAGCCAUUCCCCUCCCCCUGCUUUUGGCCCCUGGCAACAUCUGAGCUGCUUUUGCCUUUUCUGGAAUUUUAUAUAAAUGGUGUCAUACUGUAUGUAGCUUUUUGUGUUAGCUCCUUUCACUUAGAAUAAUGCAUAUGAGAUUCAUUCCUGUCUUGUGUCAGUUCAUUCCUUUUAAUUGCUAUGAAACAUUCCAUUUUGUGAAUAUUCCAUGAGCAGAAUAUUUUAUCCAUUUAUCUAUCAGUAGAUGGACUUUUGGGUUAUUUCCAGUUUGUUGUUGUUGUUGUUUUGUGUUUUUUUUUUUUACUAUUAUGAAUAAAGUUGCUUGGAGUAUUCACAUUCAAGUCUUUGGGGAUACAUUUUUCCAUUUCUUGGGGGUAAAUCCCUAGGAAUAGGAUUGCUGGGUCAUAUGUACAGUGCAUGUUAAUUUUAUAAGAAACUGCCAAACUGCCAGACCACCAAACCAGCAGUAUAGGAGAGUUCUAGUUGUUUCCCGUCCUCUCCAACAUUUGAAUGGUUUGUCAGUCAUUUUACUUUUAUCCACUGUAGAAUGUAUUGAGUGUGUAAUGGUAGAUAUCUUAUACUUUUAAUUUGCAUUUGCUUCAUUAAUAAUGUUAAGCAUCUUUCUAUGUGCUUAUUUCUGAUUUGUAUAUCUUUGGUCAAGUGUUGAAACCUGCCUUUUUCAAAAAUAGGAAUAUUUGUGUUCAUACUAUUCAGUUAUAAGAGUUUUGUUGUAUUUUGUUUUAAUCUUUUAAUGUGAAGAAGCACAUUGAUUUUCAAUGUUAAACCAACCUGGUAUUGCUGGAGUGUAUCUGACUUUGUCAUAACAUGUUACCUUUUGUGUUGCUAGAUUCAAGUUGCUAAGUUUUUGUUAAGGAUUUUUGUGUCUGUCUUCAUGAGGGAUAUUGAUCUAUAAGUUCCUUUUAAUAUUUUGUCUGGUUUUAGUAAUCAGAGUAAUGGUAGUCUCAAAAUGAGUUGGAAAUUGUUCUUUCUUCUGUUUUCUGGUAGAAUUUGUAUUAUCUUUCCUUCCCUUCAAUGUUUGGUAGAAUUCAACAGUUAAUCCUUAAGAGCCUGGAGUUUUCUUUGUAAGGUUUUUAAUUACCGAUUCAAUUUAUUUACUAAAUAGUGAGGCUGUUGGUUUUUAAAUUUUUCCUGGAGUGAGUUUUGACAGUUUGUGCCUUUCUAGAAAUUUGUCCAUUUCAUUUAAGUUGUCAAAUUUAUGAACAUAGAGGUGUUUAUGUUAUUCUCUUAUUAUCCUUUUAAUAUAUGUAUGACCUGUAGGGAUUUUGUUUUCAUUCUUGAUAUUGAUAAUUUGUUUUCUGUCUUUUCCCUUAUUCUGGCUAGAGCCAUGUGAUUAUUGACUUUUUCAAAGAAUCAGCAUUUGGUAUCAUUGAUUUUUCUCUGUUGUUUUUAUGUUUUUAGUUUCAUUAAUUUCUGCUCUUUAUUUUCAUUCUGCUUGUUAUGGGUUUAAUUUGCUCUUUUUCUGGUAACUUAGGAUGGAAGGUUAGACCAUUUAUUUGAGACUCUCCUUUCCUAAUACAAAUAUUAAAAGAUAAAUUUCCUUCAAGCAACUGCUUUGGUUACAUAUAACAAUGUUUGUUUUUUACUUUCGGCUGAAAAUACUUUCCAAUUUAGCUGGUGAUUUCUUUUUUGAUCUAUGGUUUAUUUAGAAAUGAAUUAUUUAAUUUCCACAUAUGUGGAGGAUUUUCCAGAUUUUGUGUAUGUAUGUAUGUAUGUAUGUAUGUAUGUGUGUAAGCAACCUCUGCCCCCAACAUAGGGCUUGAACUCAUGAUCUCAAGAUCAAAAGUUGCACAGGCUCUACAGACUGACAAGCCAGGUGCCCCUCUAUUAUUAUUUUCUAACUUAAUCCUUUUGUGGUCAGAGAAUCUACUUUGUAUAAUUUCAGCCUUCUUAAAAAUUUAUGGAGACUUGUUUAUAGCCUACAAUUUGGUCUGUCUUGGUGAAUGUUUUAUGUAUAUUUGAAAAGAAUAUAUAUAUUUUUGGGUGUGUGUUCUAUAAAUGCCAGUUAGGUCAAGGGGGUCAACUUCAUUUGGUGAGUGCUUGUUAUAUUAAUUACUGUGAAAUGAAUUUUGAAAUUCCAGCUGUAAUUGUGGAUUUGUCUACUUCUUUUUUCAGUUCUCUUUUUGCUUCAUGUAUUUUGAAAUUCUAUUGCUGGCAGAUAAACAUUUCAGAUCGUUCUAUAUCUUCUUGAUACAUUGGCUCCUUUGUUAUGGAAUGUCCCUCUUCAUCCUGGCAAUAUUCUUUGUUAAAAAUCUGUAUAAUAAAGGUAAUAUAGUACCACUACCACUCCAGCUACUUUUGUUUAAUAAGCUACUUUAACUUUCUUUCGAUUACUAUUUGUAUGGUACCUCUUUUACCCUCCUUACACUUAUAACCUAUCUCUGUGUUUAGACACAACUAAUCUUUGUAUGUAUGUAUGUAUAUAAGCAGCAUAUAAUUAGUUGGGUCUUGUUUUUGUUGUUGCUAUUAUUUAAUCCAGUCUGACACUCUCUGCCUUUUGUUAGGAGGGUUUUUAAAAAGACCAUUUCAUAUAAUGUAAUUGUGAUUUGUUUAGGUUUAAAUCUACUAUCUUGUUGUUAGUUUUCUAUUUGUCCUGUGUGUUUUUGUGUGCUUUUCCUGCCUUCUAUUAAGUAGUUAUUGUUUCAAUGAAUACCAUUUACCUAGCAUAUUAGCCACAUCCCUUUGUUAUUUUAUAAUGGUUUCUCUAGUGUUUUACAUGUUUAACCAAUUAUAGUCAGUCUCCAAAUAAGACUUUAUGUAGAAUGUAAGAUCCUUAAAAUAACAUGCUGCCAUUUCUCCCUUCCUACUCUUAGUUCUAUUUUAUGUCUACAUGUUAUAAACAUGUUAUAAACGAUAUAUUACUAGGUUGCUUUAAAUGGUCCUUGUCUUUUAAAAAGAUUAAAAAUGAGGGAAGAAAAUCUCUAUUUAUCCAUGUAUUGAUAAUUUCUGGCUUUUCAUUCCUUUGAUGUCCAUCUGAUAGCAUUUCUUUCUGCUUGAAGAACUUUCUUAUGACCUUUCUUACAGGGCCGCUCUGCUGGCAGUGAAUUCUCUCAGCUUUUGUUUGUCUGAAAGUCUUUAUUUUGUCUUCAAUUUUGAAAGACAGUUUUACUAGGUAUAGAAUUCUAGGAUGAUGGUUUUUCUGUUCCCUUAUUAAGGGUGUUCCUCCAUUGUCUUCUGUCUUAAUAGUUUAUGAAAAGCACUUUGCUCUCAUUCUAUCUUUAUUCCUUUUUUAAAAGUUUUAAUUGAAAUUCCAGUUAAUUAACAUAGUGCAAUAUUAGUUUCAGGUGUACAGUAUAAUGAUUCAACACUUGCAUACCUCACCUGGUGCUCAUCACAACAAGUGCACUCCUAAUAUCCCCAUUAUCUAUUUAACCCAUCUUCCUGGCCACCUUCUGGUAACUAUCAGUUUGUUCUCUAUAGUUAAGAGUCUGUUUCUUGGUUUGCUCUUCUCUCCCCCCCCCCCCCGCCCCCCCCUUUGCUCAUUUGUUUCUUAAAUUCCACAUUUGGGUAAAAAUCAUAUAGUGUUUGUCUUUGACUGACUUAUUUUGUUUAGUGUAAUACUCUCUCUAGCUCCAUCCAUGUCAUUGCAAAUGGCAAGACUUCAUUCUUUUUUAUGGCUGAGUAAUAUUUCAUUGUGUAUAUAUAUGCCACAUCUUUAUCAAUUGAUGGAUAUUUGGGUUAUUUCCAUAAUUUUUAGAUAAUGCUACUCUAGGUAAUGCUGCUAUAAACAUAAGAGCGCAUGUGUCCCUUUUGGUUAGUAUUUUUGUAUUCUUUAUCUUCUUUUAUUGUGUCUUUUUCUCUGACUGCUUAUAAUUUUUCUUCUUUAUCACUAAUUUUAAUAUGAUUUGCCUUUGUGUGGUUUUCUUUAUAUUAUUCUAUUUGGGGUUUAAGUUUUCUUGGAUCUGUGGGAUUAUAGUUUUUAGCAAAAAAAAAAAAAUUAUUUUAGCUAUUAUUUUUCAAUUAUUUUUUUCCUGUCCUCUUCCUCUCUUCUUCUUGACCUUAAUUACAGAUAUGUUAGAUAGCUUAAUGUUGUCUUCCCACAGGUCACUGAUACUCUUUUAACUUGUUUUUCAGUCUUUUUUGCUCUCUAUGCUUCAUUUUGGAUAGUUUUGUUGUUGUGUGUUGAAGUUUACUGAUCUUUUGCAAUGUCUAAUCCACUGUUAAUCCCAUCCAGUAUAUUUUUUUAUUUCAGAUAUUACAUUUUUCUUUACUGAAAGUGCCACUGGAUUUGUUUUUUUAUCUAUCCCUUCUCUGCUUCCUUUUUCUACCUGGAAUAUAUUUAGAAUAACUUUUUAACAACUGUAUUGAGACAUAACUCACAUUGGCAUGUAAUUUAUCCAUUUAAAGUAUAUAAAUCAAUGCUUUUAGUACAUUAACAGAGUUGUGCAAUCAUCACAAUCUAAUUUUAGAACAUUUUCAUCACCCCAUAAAGAAACUCUUUACCCAUUAGUCCCCAUUCUGUAUUGCUCCUCUCCAGCAUACACAACCACUAAUCUACUUUCUGUCUCUAUAAAUUUGAUUAUUCAACAAAUUUCAUAUAAAUGGGAUCAUAUGAUACAUGGUCUUUUGUAUCUGUUUUUUUUUCACUUAGCAUAAUGCUUUUAAGGUUCAUCCAUGUUGUAAUAUGUAUCAGUACUUCUCUUUAUGGUUGAAUAAUAUUCUACUUGUAUGGAUAUAUCACGUUUUAUUCAUUAGUUGAUAGACAUUUGGAUUGUUUCAAUUUGGGGGCUAUUAUGAAUAGUGCUGUUGUGAACAUUUAUGUACAAGUUUUUCCGUGGACAUGUAUUUUUAUUUUGGGUAUUUGCCUAGGAGUGGGAUUGCUGGGUCAUAUGGUUACUCUAUGUAUAACCUUUUGAGGAACUAUCUGUUUUUCCAAAGAAGCUAUACCAGUAUAAUAACCUGUUUAAUGCCCUUGUCUACUAAUUCCAUCAUCUCUUGUCAUUUCUGGGUCUGUUUCUAUUGAUUGGUUUUUCUCCUAGUUAUGAGUCAUAAUUUCCUCUUCCUUUUCAUGCCUGAUAAAUUUUACUUGGAUACUGUUCUUGGGUGCUAGAUUUUGUUGUAUUCCCUUAAAUAGUACUGGACUUAGUUCUGGCAUGCAGUUAAGUUACUGGAAAUAAGUUGUAUCAUUUUUUAAGCCAGCUGUUGGGCUUUAUUAGGAUAGGUCCAGAGCAGCCAUUAGUUUAGGGAUGAUUUAGCUCCAGUUCUAAAACAAAACUCUUCUGAGGAUUUUAUCUGAUGGCGUGAGUAUUAUGAAUUAUUUCUGCUUUUGUUGGUGAAAACAUGAACUAUUCCUAGCUCUUUUUGAGCUCUGGGACUUAGACCAACUGUUUUCGGUGCUUUUCUCCCUGACUUUAAGUGGUCUCCUCUCACAAAGAACUCAGCCUGAGAUUCUAAAGGACCUUUGCACUGCUCCCUCCUUUCAGGUGUGCUGCCUUGCCAAUUCUAGCCAGCUUGGCCUCCCUGAAUCCUGAUCUCUGCCCCCCUCAACUCAGUAUGACUGCCACACUCUGAGUUUUCCUUUCUCUAUGUUGUGGCUUGGAAACUGCGAUGAUCAGGCAAUCAUAGGACAUGCUCAUUUGUUUCACUCUCCUCAGGAAUUAAGUCCUACACUGCCUGUUGUCCAGUGUCUGAAAAUAAUUGUUUCAUAUAUUCUGUCUGGUUUUCUAACUGUUACUCCAUCAUAGCUGAAAUCCAUGAUAAAUGCGAUGUCAGUGCCAAAGCAUGCUGCUGUAUUAACCAUUUAAAGUAGAGCUUGUUAUAUAUAUAGGGAGAAGAAAAAGAGUUAGUGUUACCUGUGAAGCCAAGGCAGGAGACAUUCUGCAUGUAUACUACAGAAAUGGUACCUUUACUUUGUAACUUAGGGCAUUUGUGAUUUUCAAUACAGUAGUCACUGUUGGAAAAAUUGCCCCUUUUAGUCAUCCAAGUAAUAUUUAUUAAAUAUCCACAGAGUACUUGGUGCUGUGCUAGGCAUUAUUUUGUAUUCGUACUUUUUUUUUAUGUUUAUUUUUGAGAGAGAACACAAGUGGGGGAGGGGCAGGGAGAGAGAGGGACAGAUGAUUUGAAGUGGGCUGUGUGCUGACAGCAGAGAGCCCAGUGUGGGGUACGAUGUGAUGAACCAUGAGAUCAUGACCUGAACCAGAUCGGACACUCAACCCACUGAACCACCCAGGCACCCCUCUUAUUCCUACCUCUUUUUUUUUUUUUUUUUCCUACCUCUUAACAGUUGGAGUAUGCCAAACAAAUGAAAUAAAAAUAAUUUUGCUAUUCUGGUUACCAGUUAGAUUCUUGGAUUUAUCUCUCAGGCUUUGACAUUCAGAAACUGGGAGUAGAAUAUAGUAUAUUCUCAGCUGUAAAGUUGAUCUCAUUUCCUCACUGGCCAUCUGUUUGUUUGUCUCCAAGAAUAACAAAAAUUUCAUAGCCAUAUAUGUAUUAUUUAAUUACUUAAAAUAAUGAAUGGGCUGAACCAUGCUUGCCCCACUUUUGAAACAGUUCCUCCUAUAGGCUGUUGCAGUAGGAAGCUAAUACCUCUGAUUAAGAAUAAAGACCAGACCUACAUAAGCAUAUGUUGUACUGCUGUAUCUGAAGUCAUGAGGGUGUGAUUAAUGGUCCUUAAGAGUUUUAAUUUGGCGUGUCUUACUCCUAAAUCUCACUUAAGCUUGGUUGCAAAGCCUUACAAAUGAGUCUUCUGUACAUGCCAAGCUAAGACAAGUCACUGCCUUCUUGGGGCCUCAUUUCCUAAGCCUGUCUGGGUUCCCUACAGGUUAAAUUACAGGACAAAGCUUGCAUGGAGUCGUAGGGAAUCUUCACAGAUCAUUCUUGGAGCAGAGGAGUUAAGUAACAUUCUUUGCCUGAAAGCAUGGUUCAUUUCCUAAGCCCAGUUCUAACAGUGUCCUCUUUUAAAUCUUUAAGUUAAUUAAAUCCUUUCGUUAUAUUUUUGGGGUCAGAAAAACAGACCGUGCUUGUACUCAGGAGUCUAGAAACACACAGCAUCAUUGACUAAUUACUUUCUUAGAGGUCUUACAUGACUUCAUGCUGCCUUUUGAUUUGUUUUUAUGUGUGAAACAUUUUUUCUUAACACAUUUAACAGUACAUAGUUUUUUGUCUGCCCUUUCCUUAAAUAGGAGGGUGACAGUUUCUUUAGGAGGAAAAUAUAUGAUGAUAAGUGACCUCAGUUUAUUUCAUGUGGGAUGUAGAUGUUUCCCAUAAAAAUUAAAGUUAACUGUUUUUUGCAGAUAGGGCCCCUGUAUUUUUUCCAUAGCACUUUAUAGAUGGAAGGGAUUGUGUGUGUUUAAAGACAUGAUGCUUUUCUGGAGGAGCUGGAAUCGUUUGUAUUAAGUCAUGUUUCUGAGUCUGAGGAUUAGAAUACCUCUUUGAUAUGUAUCUUGGAAUGAGCUAAUAAUUUGUUUAUAAUAAGAAUUUUAUUCUUCAAUAGCAGCUGUUCUUGGCAGCUUAUUAUAAAAAAGUUCAAGUUGUAGUCUUUAAUCUGGGGUGGGAUUAGGGGAGAACAAAAUACUAUUAAUGAUUUUACUUGAUAAAAGUUUGGUUUAUUUGAUAUAACUACUGUCUUUAUUGCAUACUGCUUUAUUACUGACAUUCAGCAAAUGAUUCCCUCUGUGCCUGCAACCUUCUGUGAUAUCCAAAAUGUAGGUACUUAAAUGUUUGAAUGAAUGACACAACCUAAAGUAUUCAAAUGCUUACUAAAAUGAUGCCUUGUAUACCCCUACUUCCAAAGAGAAUUUUGAGGAUGACUAGUAUUUCAGUUGUUCAAGUUGGAUAAUUGUGUUUGGAUGGAGAAUCUAUGUUCUUGUGAAAUUGAAGUUUAUGAAAUAAGAUUGGAAAAAAAUAGAGUGUAUAAUUGGGCACAUCCUGUACUGCUUAGUGAAUCACCAACCCAGUGUAAUUGCCAUUAAGCAUUUUGGAAACCAGACUUGUAUGUUCUUGCUCUGCCUGUAAAGCUAGGAGUUGCCCAGGGGGAGCAGCAGUUCAUCUGGGCCAGAGUCAUUGGAGUGACGCGUCGAGCCCCUGCUCAUGUGUGUGAGCCAUUUGCCUUGCUGGCUGACUGCUGAUGUGAGUCGUGAAGGCAUCAGAUGCCGUCAUACCAAAGCAGGACCUUCCUUGGUCAUUUUUAAGGCCAUGACAGGAGUCACGUUCAAAAUAUAAUUAAUUAAUAAGGCAAUGUCCAGGAGAAAAAAUUAAUUGUAUGUGUAGUUCAUGAUGUACCUUAGCUACUGCAAUGAAGAAUCAUUGGAAUGAAUCUCUUACCACAUUGGCCAGUCCCUCAUCAGUCCAGUACAAACCUGCUUUGGGAGGAGUAGAUGGAUCAUUAAGAUGAAGAUGCCUGAAAAAGUGAAAUCCAAACCUAGGGCCAAUUAGGUAUUCCUAUCCUUCUGACCUCAUAAUGUGUAAAAGUUUUCUAAGCACUCUUCGAAUGGCAUGCCACAGGACACGUGCAUGUGCGUUUUUCUGGGAAGUGGAUGCAUCUCACUCACUGGACUCUCAGAGGAGUCCACAGGAUGAAGAGUCACUGACCUGGAGUGACAGGUAUGGUUGUGAAAAGAAAGGCAAAGUUUUAAACCCAGUAAAAAUGGCAGUACUCAUCUUUGGAAGAAAAAGGAGCAGUUAUUGACCUUCAUCCGUUCCUGCGUACAGCACCCCUCUCACUCCAAGCCCUGAAUCCUUUUAAGGAAAGACUUUGAUUUCCCUUGUGGGCAGUAGUGUUUCCAGUAGUUGGUUAGGCUACUGUGUGAGAUAUGGAGCUAAUUUUUAAAGAACUUUUUGCGUUGGAAGUGCUUUUUCUUCUCCUUUGUCAACAGUGCUUGGCUUUCCUUUGAGAAUUCCAGUGGUCUACAAGUCCCCAGCACUCUAGCCCUUGUGUGCUCCUGCAGGGUUAUGGUCUUUUACAUUGAGUCAAGGGAGUCUGAAAUGGAAGAUAUCUGUCUUUGAAUCCCAACUCCACUGUGGAUUAGCUGUAUGACUUUGAGCAAGUCACCUAGUCUCUUUGAACCUCAGAUUGUUUUUGUUUUUUGUUUUUUGUUUUUUGGUUUUUUUUUUGUUUUUUUGCUUUGUUUUUUUUUUGUUUGUUUUUUUGGCUAUGGAAUAGGGAUAGUAGCUCCCUAUGUUGAAGGGCUUUUGUAAGAAUUAAAAGAGAUAAUGAAUAUAAAAUGCCUUGCAUACCAUUUGGCACUUUGUGAGCUUCCAGUAAACCUUAGCUGCUGCUAUUAGACCGUGUGCAUAUUGGUGAAUGUGUAAUCUCUUCUUUUCCCCACUUGGUUGUCAGCAACUUGAGGGCAGGAACCAUGCUUUAUUCUUGGUCUGUCAUCCGGAUUGCCUAGAAUAAUAAUUGUUGGUUGCUUUUUCAGUGUGGUCCUGAGUCCCUGAAUCAUUCCACGUCAUAGGCAUGUGUCUCAACUAUUCCAGUUUUAAUAUGUGGAGCACCAGGGCACUUGUCAAGUGCUCUUAGAGACAUUCCUCAGGCAGAAAUGGUGGGAUUUUUGGCUUCAUUUUAUUGGCCAGGUUGAGUUUGACUCUUUGGUCAUGGUGUUCGGUGAGGUUCAGUCUUUGAAGUUUUGUAACUUCUUACAGUGUCAAGUCUAUACUCCUUGGAUAAGACAGAGACUUAAGUUCCAUUCCCUCAUAAAUAGGGGAAAGGGCAGCUUCAAGUCCUAUACUGUGAAUGGUGGGUCAGCUCUUCCUUUUUGUACCAUUUCCUGUUGGCAGCAUCCUCCAUUCCCAUCCCCGACCUCAGCCCCGCCUAAGGUUGAGCCCUCUCAGUGUGGUCAUACCCUUAUCAGUCUGUACUCCUCUCAGAACGUAGAUUAACUCAUACCAAACUCUUAGUCCUUAGUAGUGCUAUUCAUGUCUUACUUCUCCCUCUAAGAAUAUGAGGCUUUAUAAAGUGAGUAUGCAGAGGUGAUAUCUUAAGCCAGUGGUUCUUAACAUGGGUGGGGCAGGUGUGUGUGGUUUUGCCCCCAGGUGACAUUUAGAUACUUUUGAUUGUCACAAGGUGGGGUGGGGCAGUGGCUACUGCUGGAAUCUAGUAGGUAGAGAUCAGGGAUGUUCUAAACAUAGUACACCACACAGGAUAGUCCCCCACAAUAGAAAAUUAUCCAGCUCAAAAUGUCAAGUAUUGCCAAGGCUGAGAAACAUUGCCUUUAGCCUGACAGGGGUAUAAGUCAUCUGACAAUUUGUUGGGGAGAAAAUGGGAGGUAAGAGGUAUUUAGCUGUCCUAAGUGAGUCCACUUCAGUACUUGCCAGGUAGGCAAUACCUAAUGGCAGGAUAUGCUAGAAAGAGUCCUGAAUUUGGCCUCAUGGAGUCAUGUUUAUGUGACAUUAGGGAUGAUCUGGACCUGAUGCCCCGAGGAGUAAAUUGCCACGCUCUGCAUGGAGAGUUGGGAAGAAAGAAGCAGAGGCAUCUGAAACUUUGAGGAGUGGUUGGGGCAUUUCUCCUUAAGUUCCUCUUAGAGAGCAAGAGAAUCAGGGAGAGAGUGGAAGCUUUCUCUCCUGAGAUUUGCUUUGUACCUGAGAAUCCAUUUGAAUCAGCCAGAAGAAGGAACUAGAGGGAAGGAAGAUAGAUCUUGUCCUGAGUAAUUUCUCUUUGGGAUCAAAUCAUAGGGCAGAGUCCCUGCCUCUUGGGGAACUAUUGAGGAGCUGGUUGAGUUGAGAAUUUUCACAUACACACACACUUGCCAUUUUUUGUUUUCAAUAGCUCUGUUUUCUUCCCUUCCCAGUAUUUCCCCUGACCUCCUUCUCCCCUGCAACUACAUAGACGUUGGGAGGAGCCUUUCUUGCUCUUCUACGGAAGGAGCCAGUGUGUGUGGAAGCAGCAGGCAUUCACACUGGACUGCACCUUUCCUGUGUUACACGUCCAGUGUCCACAGAUCCAUGUGGAUCCAUCUGCCUUACUCAUUUACUCUGAACAAGGACAGCAGCAGCACCAGCAAUAGCAAACGGAGAUGAAAUGACUCAUUUUGCAUGAUGUCUAUGAGAGAGCCGGGGCCUCCUUUGUGCUGUGUCUCCCAUUCAGGCAUUCUUUCAGGAACUUGCUUCUCUGUAGUUCUAGAAUUGUGUGUAAGAGGGCCUUUUUAAAAAAGUUGGAAAUGUUCGUCUUCCUGAGUUGCAGUGGAAGCAGCAGGAGGGUCAGCCACUUCCAGGACAGCGAGAGAGGCACAGAAGAGGACACAGAAGGAGGUCUGAGCCUGGGCAAAUGCUGUGUGUCUGUCUCUGCUUUGUGACACGGUUCCCUUUCUCAUAUUGGCUAUGUCAUAGGACCAAAAGCAUGUCUCAGAAACCUACUGGAUUCUGCUCAUGGCUUCUAGCAUCUGGUUUGGGGAAAGAUUCUGGGGUGCUCCAAGGGCUAGCUCCCAGCAAGGGUUAGGACAGACAUCAUGAGCCCUGGAUGCCUAGGGAGCCUUCUCUGAUGAGCUUACAACUGGCCUUUCAUGAUUUCUGGGUCCUUGGUGAGUGUGAGUAGUCAUUGUAGGAUAUUUGGUGGAGUAGAAGAUGGCAGGCAGGUUUUAUUGAAACCACCUGCACAUGUAAACCUUCUCUUAAUGUCUUACCUCCUCAGUUUGGGAGGAGAAGCUCCCUACCUCCAGGUUCCCUCCCCAAGGACAACAAAUUACUAUGACAGGUUCAGAACUGACAGACACUGGGUCAGCCCCAUUGUGGGCUGCUGGGCCUGGCCUUCAGUAGAAGCUUCCUUUUUAACCUGGGCAGGCCUUAUCAGACUUUUUGCUUCUGGGUACUUUUUUUUAAAUGUCAUUAUCAUACAAAAAUCAUAGUCUUUUCAGGAAAAUAAAGGAAUCUAUCCCUCUCAAGCUUCUAACCUUUGUAGAAAGCACAGUGGUAACAAAGUACAAACCAGUUUGUACUGUUUGAUUAAGGAGGAAAGAAUUUCAACUAUUAAAAUGAUGUGGGAAGGAAAGAAAUUCAGGUCUUGGGCUGUGGGUCUUGGACCUAAACUAGACUUAACAGUUAAAGUUUUCCUCCUUUCAUGAUGCUAACUUUCUUAAUGUUUCCCUUAUGAACAGUUGAGACAAGAGUUUUUACCUUUCAGCUAAAAAAUAGACAACCUCCUGCAAGUUGUGUUGUCUCCUUCAUUAAAUGGAUUUAAAAGGAGUGGAGAAGUGUGUAUUCCUUAAUAAAAAUAUGUAUCAAAUUAAUGGGUAGGUAGGACUCAUCGUGCCACCAAGAUUUGGACACCUGGAUUGUAUACAGACUGUGACAAAAACGUUGUAAGAUAGUGUUGGGGCCAGGGAAUUUCAUUCUUCCAUGAACCUGUUUGAUAUUUUGGGAAUGUUCUGAGAGAGAUUCUUUUACUUACUUGGUGAGCAAGGUCCAGAUUAGUUUGUACCUGGGGCUUCUCAAGGAGUUAUGUCGAGCCAAAGGCUUGGAAGCCCACGGAUGAUGGAAUUUAGGGUAUAUCUCCCUUCUUUGUUUGGAUAAGAUAUUUCUUAAGAUAGCCUAAUGGUAAUAACAAAAAUGAAACACUCUAGACUUUUACUCUAGACAGAUAUAGCUCUUUGGGCACAAAUCCAAGGAAAUACAGGGGAAGAUUAGGUUUUAUAACUAUUUCAUUCUAUUUCAAGAUGAUAAGGGGGAAAUUAUCAAGCUUAUCAGACUAGUAGGUUGCUUGCUUAAUAAACAGUGGCAAAGAAUAAAGCUAUGAGUCCAAAAUGAGUGCACUUUUUAGAAAAGAUGAUUUUGUAGUGUUAGGGUAUAUCCUGUAUGUGGGCUUGGAAAGAACUUAGGUUGCCACUUUAUUUUUGCAGGGAAUAAUCAAAAUAUAAAAGUGAAAAUUAGUAUUGCAUUUUGGUAAAGCUUUAGAUGUUUAUUUCUUAAAAUAAACUUUUUUUCUAUGAAUAAAAGCAGAGGUCAAAGAAAUCAUAAGAGCAUCUUCAACUGAAUGGGACUGGAUGCUGGUGUUUCUCAUACAUAUAUAUGUUUUUUGCAGUUACUCGACAUUUUUAAAGAUUCAGAUUAAAAAGUUUAUUCUCUGAAGUCAUGGGGUCAUGGGAUCCAUACUAAGCAUGGAGCCUGCUGGGGAUUCUCUCUCUCCCUCUGCUCCUCUUCCCUGUUUGCUCUUUCUAAAAAAAAAAAAAAAAAGGUAGAUAUUUAAAAAAAAACAACUUUAUUCACUGUGCAUAAGAUUAAAUAUUUGAUCUGGUAUUUGUUAUCUGUUUUAUCCGGAGAUUUGAUAAAACUUCAUGUAAGGAACAUAACUUGUAGUUAUGGUUUUCUUACAAUUGUUAUUUAGUUUCCUGUGAAAAAUUCCAUUUCUUGACACUUCUAUGCUCUUUGGCAAGUUUGUUCAACUGUUUAAUCUUAAAAUAAUGAUUGAAGUACUGAUUUUUGUUAGAUCAUUAGGUGGAUGGCCUCCUCUUUUGUGUAAUAACAGUUGACUGCAUUCUUAAGGUUUAUUGAUGAAAACUAGUUAAGAUCUAAGUUGCUCAUAGGACUAAAAGGUGCGUCCUUGUGUCUGGUAUGAGAUAUUUGUCUUCACACUAGUAAUUAUUUGCAUUUAACCAAUAAAUCUUACCUUCUUGUUGUUUUUUUUUUUUUAAGUUUAUGUGUUUAUUUUGAGAGAAGGAAUGAGGGGGUCGGGGAGAGAGAGAAAGAGAGGGAGAGGGAGAGAGAGAGCAUGAGUGGGGGAGGGGCAGAGAGAGAAGGAAAGAGAAUCCCAAGCAGGCUCCACACCACCAGCACAGAGUCCAAUGUGGGGCUCAAACUCACGAACCAUGAGGUCUUGAUCUGAGCCAAAAUCAAGAGUUGGACGCUUAACUGACUGAGCCACCCAGGUGCCCUGAUAAAUUUUACCUUCUAAAAGAUCAGAUGAAGGUGAAAUGGUAUAAUGGUGAAAUGAAUUUCUCUAGAACUAAAGAAAUCCUUACUCUGGGGGACUGUGGUGAGCCCUCUAAGCUGCACUGGGGUCUUCAGGCGAGGCCUUAACUCCUCCAUGACUCAGCUUUGGUGUAGUGGAAGGAUGCCACUCCUUGGAGUCAGAAGGCUGGGACCCUGCCCCACCCUGCCACCACCAUCUGUGAGACCUUGGGUGAGCCACAACUUUGCCAGGACCUUAUCUUAAAGUAGAGACAGUGUGACUAUGUUCUGGGUUUGUUUCAAUGAGGUGAUGGAAUAUUGAGGUGGUGCCUUCCCCACCACAGGCGCUUAGUGUGUUAGGGUUCUUUUCCUGCCUCCACCCCCCUUGUAAAGGGGACCAGAGUGUGUUUGCUUAGAAUUGUGUCUCAAUUCAGCUGGUGUGUUGCAUAAGCUUAGUUAUCUACUUUUCCUUUCAGUUCUUCCUAGGUAUACAGCUGGUUAGGGGGAGGUGGGGCUGAGGCUGAGGAGAGGAAGCUGCUUACAGCAGGUGCUGGGGAGAGGAAGUCGUCUGAGGCUGUUUGGUAUCAAGCACACUUUAGUAUGACCCUAGACAUCCAGAAAAUGUUAAAUUUUGUCCAAUAUGUCUUGUAAAAUGGCUAAUGUUUUAAUGUUUUGGCAUUUAAAAGUAAGUGUUAGUUAUUUGAAAAUUUCACUUGGGUGUAAUCCCCUUAUUUUCCUGUGGUACAAGAUCAUCAGGAGGUGUAUCAGUUGGCCUGGGUAGAGUUUGAAUCACAGGUACCCGUGUGAUCUCCAAAGAUGCUGGUGUUCUUUCCUGAGGUGUCAGAACUCAUUGGCUGUGCUGUCAGCUCAGAUACCUGUGGCACGUUGUCUUCCCAGCAAGUGGUCACUGUUUCUGGAAUAUGUGUCACUACCUUAAGGCAAGCCGCGUUAUUUUUAAUCUGUGUUCCUAGGUUACUUGAUGACUUGAGCACAUAUAUCAGAGAUAAACAGACAGGCAGGCCAUUGAUUUUUUUUUUUUUUUUUUUUUUUUUUGAGAUGAACAGCUCUAUAGCCAGGGAGGGAAAGAUAAAAUCAGUUUAUAAGUUACAGUGGUUCAGGGUGCUCUGCCUUCUCAGAUUUUUUACCCCCCAGGAAUCAUUGAUUUCAUAGAUUUUUAUUUUAAACUUUACCGUUCUGCAUAUUUCAGAGUGAAAUGUCCUAUGAGGAUAAUCUUAUUAAUCUUUAAUCUGGAAUUUUAUGUUCCUCACCUGGCUAUGCCAGUAUUUUUACUUGGAUUUUAGGUGAUUUUUAAAUCCACUAUAAACUUGACAUAACUCACAGUCCACCAAAUACUUAAAACGAGGGGUAUCUUCAAAGAUUUGACAUAGGAGGUGGCAUUCAAGCUGAACCUUGAAUCACAACUGGGGUUUUUUUAAGGUGGAACAGGAUGGAUGAGCUCCAUGAGGCAAGACUGUGUGUCUCUAGUUCACCCGUAUUUCCAAUUCCUAACUGAGACCCUGGUAUAUGGUGAUUACUCCCUAUGUAGCUGUCAAAAGAGUAAAUGACUAUGUGGUGGGGCUCCCAGGUAAGAGUAGAUGGUGGGGAGAUAGGAGACAAAUCAACCAACGGUAAACUGGAGCCUGUAAGAGGCCUUGAUGUCAGAUCAGAGGCUUUAUUCUUUCUGCUGUAGGCAAGGGAGGUUGGUAGGUGCCCUGUUGCAAGCUGACCUUCUGGUUAGUGGUGGCUUCUGAGGUCACUUGCAGGAGGGAGGGCUUUGAGCUGGUCUGGACAUUGGGCAAGGAGGGAAUGGAGUGGGGUGUGGCAGUCCUGUUGCUGAGCUUGCUCUCCCAUGGUUUGGAGAUGAGGAGUAGAGGAAUCUAAUCUAUACCAUUGUCAAUCUAUACCAUCUGCCUUCACAUAUGCCCAGAGUGGACCCACAGGGGCUGGCUAGGAGACUUUGAAGGCUGCUGAUGUGGGAGGAACUGGGGACCUGAGCCUGGGCCAGGGCAGUGGAGCUGACAGCGAGAGCUCCCAACAGUCAGCUCCCCUCCAUGUAUUGCACCAGGCUCAGUUAUAUACUGAUGUCCCUGCCUAAGCUGGUUCACAGUACUGAUUGUGAAGUGGGGUGUGAAAAGUGAUCCCUGUCCUCAAAGAGUUUGCAUUCUUGUUGGAGGAAAAAACGCCCCCCAAAAUAGUGAAACAAAGUGACUAUAAGAGCACAGAUGUUGGAGCCUCGGCCUAGGUUUAAACCUUUACUUAUCUGCUGUAUGACCUUGGGCAAGUGACUUGAUUCUCUCCCUCAGUUUGUUCAUCUGUUAGUAUCACCACUGCAUAGGGCUGUUGUGAGGAUUAAAUGAGUCAAGAUGUGCAUAUUUAAGGUGCUUAGAACAGAGUGUGGCACACAGUAAGUGCUGUAUAAUUGCUUUGGUGGUAGAGUCCCUAAGUCUCCAUUUCCUCUUAUAAUAAGAACUUUACACGAUUAUGAAGAUUAGGUGAAAUAAUGUAUGUAAAGCAUCUGGCACAGAGCCGAGCAGAGACCAACUGCUCAAUCAAUAGUAAUCAUUAUUGUUCUUUGUAUUUGAUACUUGCCCCUUGGUAUAAGUUUGAUUCUCCCUCUAUGGAAAGAUAAAAUGUAUUUUAGUCAUCUGUUUUUGCUUUCAGUUUCAGAAUCUACUUUUUAGUACAAAAUAUGCAUUUGUUAUUGGGCUGCUUCAUGCUAAGAAAAAUGACAAGAUUACCUCUGGGUAUUCUUCUCUCCUCCUCCUAAAGCACUGUAUGAGCUUGAAGUCUCUGGCAUGCAUAUUUAUUUAUUUUUCAGUGUUUAUUUUGAGAGAGAGCAUGAGCAGGGGAGGGGCGGAGAGAAAGGGAGAGAGAGAAUCCCAAGCAGGUUCCACAUCGUCAGCACGGUGCCCUACACCAGGCUUGAUCUUAGGAACCCUGAGCUCAUGACCUGAGCCGAAAAUCAAGAUUCAGAAGCUUAACCGACUGAGCCACCCAGGGGUCCCAGGCAUGAAUAUUUAAUUAAGUCUUAACUAAGAUAAAGCAGGAGCUCAUCAGGAGCUUUCUAAUGGCUAAUCCACAGUAACUCAUUUUUUCAGUCUUUUUUCUCCCACACAAGAGAAGACCUAGCGGUGACAGGAUAUUUUGGUGGUCCUUUGAAAGGAAUGUCACCCACAGGGUUUGGGGACACAGAGAGGAAGAGCUGUGUUUCACCUUGGAGCUUUGUGGCUUGGUGUGUGAUUCUCCUCUAGGUCCAUUGGCUUCACCCAGGAUGUGAGGUGGAGAUGGAGAAAGAGGAAGCAGACUCCCUCAAGGCUCUAAGCAAGUUCCACAGUGCUAGAGUUUAAACCCAUAUUCUCAGCCAGAUAUAAUUAGGAAGAAGCAGAUUAGCACUCUACCCUGGGAUAGUAUGGGGAGGCCACCUCCUUCUUCCCCUGUAAGGCAAAGACACAAAAGAUAGGAAGAACCUUGGGUGGAUGUCCAGGUUUUUACAUAGUGUUGGUGGUCUUCUGGUCUCUGGGGGCCUUUGAACUUCCAGAGGUGGGAUGGAGGCAUAGAGGGUCCUUUUUGGGUAAGGUUGUGUCAUGGUUAAGAAUUUGGGCUUCAGACUCAGACCUAGGUUUCAGUCUGAACUCCUUGACUUACUGGCUGAGGACCUUGAGGAGCAAGUUCUGUAAGCUUUCUGUCCCCCUGUUUCUCAUAGGUAAAAAUCCCAAUUGAGGAUUACAUUGAGAUUAUACAUAUUAAGGGCUUAUCAGCAUAAUUUCUAGCAAAAAUGAAAAGUUAUCUAUUACUGUUGGUGGUAAUACUAGUAAUCACCAGUAGUAAUCAGAAGUGCCAAGGGAGAUAGAAGAAACAGGCAGCAUUCUUAAGGGUGAGAGAUCAAAAUUGCCUUCUAGAUUAUGAAGGACCCUUCUAAAACCUUCUCUCUGUUCAGUUCAGUAAGAAAGGCAAGUAAGGUUGAAGAUGAGGAUUGUAUAAUUUCCUGGUACCUUCUUUCUGUCAGUCUCUUAAGAUAUGAGACAGUGGAAUCAAGUGGAGUAGGGGAGAACUGCCAGCAGAGAGAGGUUUGUGGUAUCACUUUAGAGGGACGUCCUUUGUUAUUUCUCUCGUCUUACUGUCUUAUCCAGCAUGACAUACUUUGAUGCCAUUGAAAAGUCAAAGGAUAAUAAUGUUAUAAGCAAUAAUCUUUUCAGAAGGGAUUAGGAGGAAGUUGAAGCUUUAGUUAGUAUUUUUGUUUCAUAGUAAAAGCUUUCAACAGUUUUACUCUGUAAUCUAAAAACAAACCCCACCCCCCUUUUUUAAAUGACCGGAGACAGUAAAUAAUUAAGAUAUCUGCUAUUUAUGUCUUUCCUCAGGCUUUUUUUUGAACAUACUAGCACUUGUCUUUAGGUACCUUUAAAUAGGAGUUUAAAUAAUGAACCAGGGAAAGGUAUCUUUUUCAUCCAUAAGUCCCUGUGGCUUUGAUGGUGAACCCAUGAUAAAAGGAUUAGAAAUACAGAUGAGAAGACUGAUUUAGAUACAUUUUCAUGUUAUAGAAAUUCUGAACUUCUGGCCCUGAAACAGGAAAGGCCCAUUUGAAGUUUUGUGGGCCUCCUUACUACUUUCCAGGUCAACCUUGAAAUUGUUUAAAAAAUUUUGUAGCAUGACCAAUUUUUAAAAAUAUAUAUUUUACUGGUUUAAACUCCAUGUUCACCUUUUCUAAGAUUUUGGGGUGUUUUUGCUUUGGUCAUAGAUGUGAGGGGCUUUAGGAAAUAGCUUCUAGGUGUAGAAUGUAGAGGGUAGGAGAGGGUAGGUACAGAAAGUUUUGGGCAGUACAAGUAAGAAUGGGAGCCAUUGUCAAAGAAAGAUUUCAAGAGGAAGGGACAAAGAAGAGGGGAGAGAGGAAAGAGCAGGUUGGAACAGAAAGGGAGAAAGAGGGGUACGAUGGUGAAAAUAGGGGAAAACGAAUAAUCCAGAGAGGAAGAGAAGGUACUAGGUAGGAAUGGUAGAAGUGAAGUUCAGAGAAAAAAGGUAGAGGUGGGUGAGUUUGGAAAAGAGAACAUAGGGACACCUGGGUAGCUCCAUGGGUUAGGCAUCCGAUUCUUGAUUUCAGCUCAGGUCAUGAUCUCACAGUUUGUGGGUUCAAGGGAUUCUUGAUUUUGGCUCAAGUCAUGAUCCCGUGGUUCUUGGGAUUUUCUCUCUCUCUGUCCCUCUCCCAUGUGCACGCUCUCUCUCUCUCUCUCUCUCUCUC